AAAUGAAUACAGCAAUGGCUGGAAGCCUGAAUUGUCUUCCACAUUCUUUGAUGGAUUUGGUGCUUGCUGCUCUAAGCUGCUGCAGGGAGGGUCACCAAUGGAUGCACGAAGGUAAAGCUGAGACCACAACGGGGCUCAGAGCUGUCUGAUUUUCUUCCCAAAGCUUAUAUUACAAGUCUAAAGAUUAUCUGGAUAUUCUUUUGCUAGCCACUUGAGAAAUAUUUGGGAUUCAGGAGACACAAGACAUGCUGAAGUUCUUGGAAACUAUGUGUCAGCCUCGGUGGCUCUAAAUGGAAAAAAGGGCUGUAGAGAAAUCUGACCAACACCAAGCAACUGUUCUGAAGAAUGCGGCUUAAGAUUUUCAAAGCAAAGUCAGCCUGCUCAUGCAUGCAGCUGUACUAGAGGAGCACAAAAAGCAGAGAGCGGACCACUGCAGCGAGAAGCAUUCCUGGUUCAUCAAUUCUGCAUGAAAGAUUUUCCUUUGUAAUACACUGAGAUUGAAACGUUCUUCACUCUAAUUGACCUUAAAGAAUAACCACUGGUACAAAGAUUUACUAGCUGAUAAUUACAGCCCUUCAUUUAUGAGAUUUAGGUUUUCAACCAGAGUCUGAGAAUGACAGAACAUGAGUCUUACGGCUUCUCCCUGAGUCCAGAGUGCCUGGGUACGAAACCUUAUCUGAGACUGCGGGAAGGGAGAAGUGUAUUGUCACCCUGAAUUUCACAGGGUGGCAUCAAAACAAGGAUGUCUUCCACAGUGUAUCUUUUAUUAAUGCACCUCAUUUUACCCAAGUGUUGUGAAAUGCAAAACUAAUAAGGGUUUCUGUCAAGAGCUCUGUUUGUUACAGUUUUUAUCAUUUUAUGCUGUAUUUUAUUUUAUUAUCAUACACCAUAACUUUUAUUUUAAACUUAGUAAUUACUAAGUAAUUACUAAGUAGAGGAGAUAUAGGCUGUGCUGCCCGUAGUUAAGGCUGCCCAUAAUUUCUUAGAAUAAGAUUUUUUUUUGUAUAUUUUAUUCAAGAUGUUUGCUUGACAACACCAAGUCUUAAAAUGCAGGAAAAUACCAGUAUUAGGGUCAGGAGUGUAUCUUUAAAUUUUCUUCUUCCCCUUAGUUGUAGGUAUUACGCCAUGUUCCUUCAAUACAUUAUCACAAGUCCCUUCUUCUAUCAGACUUCUACCUCAUUCAGUGCACAGAGUGGAUCAUUUCCUAGGCUUCAAUUAGGAUUUAUUACUGAAGGGGACUUUUGUCUGAGAUGUUUGUUUCAGGGUUUAGUUGAGAACAGAGAACGUGUCACUGGGUUGCAAGAAGAGAAAGGAUGGUUUCAUAAUUAAAGAGUAUGAAAUGCUGCCAUUUAGUACCACACUCUGUCACUGUACAAGCUUGUCAGAAAGAGUCAUUAACAGAUACCUUCAGUUCGCAGAUUCUUCCACAUCAUCUCAGGAAGGCAUAGAACCAUCUGCGACAUUCCAAGAUUUGCAGCAUCAUACUGGAGGUUUUGGGAAACACGUAGCUAGUCACCCUCAGCCAACCCGAAAUCCACUCCCUCCUCUCCUCCAGGCUCUUGUCAGAAACCCAGGCUUUUCAAAAGAGUUUUUAGUAGAUACAAAGUGGAAAUCUGAGCAUGUUUAGACUGACAAAGUCUACAUUAAUUUAUAUGAGAAAAUCCCCAUGGGUUUGUUUUAAGAUUAUGCUGUUGAAAUUGGCUUCUUCCCAUUAUUUCCACACCCAGACAUGACAACAAAUCUGCUGAGUCCCAUGGCUUUGACAUCUUGCAUAAAGAAUUCAGGGUCAAUAGGAUGGAGGAUAUGACUGUGUUAACUCAGGCCCAUUUCCCUUGACAAAGUUUUGGCUAAAGAACUGAGUUUUCCACUCCUCUCAUCUACUUGAUAGAGAGAAAAAAGUAUGGAAAGGAUGACUGAUGUUCUAGGUAGGGCACGUGCAUUGAUUUUCAUAUAUAAAUAUGAAACAGUCUCAGAGCAAAAGACAAUAUAAAUUAUUUAUGCAAAUUACAUUCAACAUAAGGUGGACGUAAAUUGCAGUGGUAAUUGGCACGAGAGGAAUGGUGAUAAUUCACCACUUUACAAAAGUGUAUCACACUUUAGACUGCUGUCUAGAUAAAUCCAUUCUUACAAAGAUACUUCAGUAAUCUCCUUGGAAGUACAUCAUCUAAACUGAGUAAUAUCAGUUUGAGUUACAAAUAUGAGCUCUUCUUAUCUAGAACUUAAGGUCAGUAGCAGAUGUUACAAAUUCCUAUAGAUGCAUGCCCAAAGAGAAGGAUUUUAUUUAUUUAUUUAUUUAUUUUUUAAUGGCAGAAAUCUGCUAGCUAUUCUUGCCUUAUCUGCAACAGCUGAGCAAUCUUUCAGUGCCAUGAGGAGAUUGAAAACUUGGCUCAUAUCUAGCAUGGACAAGCUUGCCUUAAUCACAUUGCUCUUUUACAUGUGCACAAGGACAUCAACAUUGACAGUGCUACAGUAAAGCAGCCAUUUGCUGAAAACAACUGUCAACAUUGUCAAGUUUUUUGGAACCUUUUAUAAUGUGAUUUGUGUGACAAAGCUUGUAUAAUUCUGUUUAUCAGCUGUAGUAACAAUUUUCCAUAAGAGGUAUAUAUGGAGAAAUACACUGGAGCUUGAUUUUCUAUUACCUGACACUCUAAAGUAAAUUAAUUAGAAAGCAUUACAAAGUAAAUGAACUGCAACAGCCAGAGCUUCUAGUCCCAUUUAAAGCAAUUUUUAGAGUUUUCACAAAAAGUUACAAAAACUGUAGUAAAAAUAUUUUUGUCUUUCAUUUAAAAGUCAGGCUUUUUAUAAAACUUCUAUACAUAUUCCUUUGUAUAUUAAUCUUGCCAUUGUGCCUGCAAAUAUAUGCUUGAAGAAAAAAAAAAUCCAAAUUAAAUUGUGUGUGCUGCUAA